CUCUCUCUCUCUCUCUAAGGUAAUCAUUUCACCUAUCAUCAGCGGUCUCUCUCUCUCUCUCUCUCGGUUCUACCUCUCUAUAUCCAUGAAAGCCGAGAGUUCAGGGGGAGAAAGGAGAAGAAGAAGAAGAAGAAGAAGAAGAAGAAAGAGGAAGCUUUUCCUUUGAGGGGAAUGUUGUCUGGCUCGAGGCACCUGUAACCGGAGAGCAAGAGAUGUUGCUUUCAUCUCUUGUUGUUCUCUUAGGGAUCUCGGACCAGGCUUCAUUCCCCCCAAUCGUAGCUUCCGAAACUCCACCACAGCAAACUGCAAAUGGUAGUCGCAGCUCAUCGUGAUCCACACGCGGGCUUUUGAUGUGUCGAUCUUCAUGUUUUUUGGAUCAUGGUCUUUUCCUCUUUGCUUCCUUGUUUCUAACUUGGGUUUUGUUUGUUCUCUGGCGAUCCACCGAGGCGGCAAGGAGAAGCAGAUUGGUGUAAUGAUGAGGGCUCUUGACCUACUCCUCCUCCUUUGUGUCUUGUGUUGACUUUAUUUCCUUUGUUCUCUGACAGGAGGAAGUCGAAAAGGGCUUCAUCAUUGCCUUGUCAUUGCCUUCGGAAAGAAUCAGAUACUAUCCUCAAAAAGAUUUAUGUCCAUCUUCAGAUACAGAAUCUGGAAAUAGACAUGUAGGUUUGUCCGUCGCAGACCGCCCGUGUAGAUCGAAGACUCUGCCUUACUCUUUACCACCGUGUUUUGAUUUGCUUCACGUCUCACCAACAACACUCGAUCUUCCAUCGACUAUUUUCCUCAUCGAUGCACAAAGAGCUUUUCAGAAGAUACAGAUCUACAUAGGUGUUCUUGACCCACUGUUUCUUACAGACUAUUCGACGGAAUGUGAGCUCGUUUCUGCAGUCAUGGCUGGCUCUGAUGGGGAUGUGUGUAUAUGUUCCAUCGCUUUGUCUCGAUUGGCUUUGACAUAGCGAGCAUGAGUACCACAUAAUCUUAUCAGAUCUUGUGGUGCAAUGCAUGCUCCAAGCAUGCAAACAAGUUUUCUGGAGAUCUGUGAGCGAGGUGAGGUGGUAGCAUAAUCGAAACCGAGCUUUUCUGUCUCUUCAUGCACAAUAUAUGUUAGCGUACAUCCAUCGUCACAGUCUCUUUUUGGUGCCGAAUAGCACUAAUAUAGCUCAUAAAAGCAAGGUUGAUGAUGC